rnacentral:rRNA from 1 species
GCAAGUCGAACGGUAGAACACCUUCGGGUGUUUGAGAGUGGCGAACGGGUGAGUAACACGUAGAUGAUCUGCCCUGGGAUUGGGGAUAGCCUGUGGAAACACAGGGUAAUACCGGAUACGCCUUAUACCUUGCGGGGUAUAAGGGAAAGGAGCUGAGGCUUCGUCCUGGGAUGAGUCUGCGGCUCAUUAGCUAGUUGGUGGGGUAAAGGCCUACCAAGGCGACGAUGAGUAGCCGGCCUGAGAGGGUGAUC